rnacentral:lncRNA from 1 species
AAAAAAUAGCUUUAUAUGUAUAGGCAUCGACUAUCGACAGUAGAACAAGGUAACCAUAAAGAAUACAUAUCCUCUCUACAUACUGAUAACUUAUUUUAUUAGUUUCUAGGUUGUUUAGUAUUUUGAAGAUUGAUUUAAGGUUGUGGUACCAUCAAUUGAUGAUUAGGGCUUUAGAUACCCCUAAGACAUUUUUUAAAACAUAAUACGAGCAUUAUGAGUUCUUAGUGCUUUCAUUUCAAUUGAUUAAUGUCUCUUCAACAAAUAUAAAGUUUAUGAAUUGAGUAUUUUGGCCCCAUCGUGAUUCCUUUGUUAUUCUUUUAAUCAAUUUCAUCUUUGUGUAUUUUACUAUUGAGACAGAUCAUGUAAAUCAUUAAAGGAUUGUGCUCCAGAAGUUAAGGGUGGAGAAGUAGUACACAUAGUUCUUAAAGUGUGAGUUUUGAUUUUGUUCCAUGUUAUUCUUGGGGCAUGUGGUGUCUAAUGAGGUCUGUAAUGAACCGUCAGGUUAUUUUUUGUAUUUUAACACUACUUUCUUAUUUAGAGCUUUCCUAUAGCUGCCCUAAGUCAUUUAUGACAUGUUUAAGCUAACAUUUUGGUUAAUGAGAAGUUUGUUUAGUCAUAGAGACAAUUCCCUAUUUUGAAGUUAUUGACAGUAACGAUUUGCUAUCAAGUGUAAAUUCAAGUUAACGGCCUCGGAUGCCAAUUCUAACUGAUUCCUUAGCUAUAUAAUGCCAAUUUUACACCAAAGGUACCUUUGGUAUGGGUCCCAAGACUUUUGAACUUAUAUUGGGCUAUGGGAAGGAUUUUAGUAAAAGUGGCACUUGAGUGUCGGGCCCACAUUUAAACGACUCUAGAUGAAAUUCUUGAUAGUGUCGUUGAGGAGGGAAUGUCAAAUUUUAUAGGGUAACAUUGUUUUUUAUGUUCACACGAUUCCAAAUAAAUUCUAAGGUGUCGAUGGAAACUGAAACACAAGUUCAGUUGGUGCAACUUCCUAAUCGGUGGUCGCUUUAGCUGCCAAAGUUUUGCUUUAACGACCAAGGCUAGUUACACCUUAUCAAUUUAGUGAAGGUCCUAUCUGUUUAGCAGGCAUCACAUAUUAGAUGUGUUAUCUUCUAAAGUAGAGGUCGACCAGGUGUUGCUGUCGCUUAAGUAACCAUGAGUCGCUUAGCGGCGAUCACUUAAGAGAUCAAAUGGUCAUUUUAGCAGUAAGUGCUGGGGCAUUAAAUUUUAUCAUUUACCUUAUUUUGUCCAAGUCCCAAGAGAUUUAUAACCAUAGAGGGAUCAGGAAAUUAGGAGGUUGAUCCUUGGGUGAUCAUGGUGGGUUGGUGAGCUUGAGAAAGUUGUUUCCUCAUGGUAAUCCUUUUAAGUUAUCAUACAAUUUGUGAUUUAAUCAUAAAUUCCUAGUUCUUUGAUGGGUUGAAUUGAGUAUCAUUUAAGCUUUGAAUUUACUCAUUCUUAAGGGUAAACGAUCCUUGAGCAUGGGGAAACAUGUUGACAGUUUCAAAAGUGUGAUUCCACAAGUGGACCCCAUAUUAUAUUUUUACUCAAUUUUGGACCCAAAGCAUUAGAAUAUGAUAUUGGUAUCAUUAUUCUAAUACUAAUUCGUAGAUCAUUAUUUCAAUAGUGUGACAUUAUACAGAGGCUUGUUGGAAGGGGAAAACUCUAAUAUUGUGGACUUUACUGGGCAUUCUUCAAUGUCUAAAUAGGAUAGGAUUACACUCAUAUUAGAUUUAGCUUCAUAAUGUUAUAGGUAUGAUAUUAUGCUAGUCUUGGGUUUGAAAUUAUGAAUAGAUCGUGUAGUUAGAAAAAUUUAGAUUAUUUAGUAGGUUAGUAAGCCAUAUUUAGGUUGAUUUGACUUAACUACCUAUCCCUUAGGUCAAAGUGCUAUAUUAGGACGUAAUGAGAACUUAUGAAGUACCUUGUAGUUUGAUCCUGCUACCUUAGGCUAGAUUGGGUUUGAAAUUACCUUAGAAUGGACUUUCGAGGUUAGGAGAAGGCCUCUCUUGCCCACUUUAAGUCAAAAUUAUAAUUAUCUCCUUGUAGACUUAAUAGGUCUUUUCCCGUCAUCUUAUUUUAUUUUCUUGAGCCCGAGGGGAACUUAGAGAUAUUCUGAGUUGGUGUGGGCUUGUAUUAUGAUUCUAAGUAUGAGUCAAUUCCGACAGUUAUGAUAUUAUGUAAAAACCCAUUUCAUCGUUACAAAACUAUACAUGUUAACUUCAUGAAAAAUCUGAUUUUUCAUUCCACAAUAUUAGCUUGAGUCCAAAAUAGUCAUAAUUCUACUUAUUGUAUCACCUCAAGCUUUUCGGCUAAGUUUUAAAUCUUUUGAUGUGUCUAGAUGGACUCAAUACCAAUGAGUUUAAGUAUUCAAGAGUAAUAACAUCAACACCUUAUUUUAAAAGUUCUUUCAGUAUGAAUUAGGGUCAUACAAUAUCUCUAACACAAAGUAAAGUUCAAAACUUCUUUUCGAUACAAUUUUGACAUGGGUUUCUAAUAUAGCAAAAUUCAAAUGACCAUAUCUCACAAAAUAUAGAUAUUUAUGGGACCCAAUACAUAUCAAAUUAAAGAUCUUUGAGUCCUCUUUCCAACAAAAUAAAUCGUUCAUUAAUCCCAAGUUGGAGUAAAAAGUUAUGACUAUUUUACUAAGUGCUAUCUGGGCUUAAAUGGGAUUUCGAUGCAGCAAAUAUUCUGAUGGUAUUUAAAUUAGCUUCUGCUAUAUUUUAGGUUUAAAACCCCCAAAUUUUACUCCCCAACCCUGGAGAGGUGAUUUUUCAAAAGUCCUUCAUUGAUGUAAGUUUUUCCAUUAUUUUCUUCAUCUUUUAAUCAUUUAAAAUCAUAUAAUCCUUAAAAAGACCUUUAAUGGUGGAGUUUCUUUGCGGGAAAACUUAUAGAUGUUUUCAAUAUAACCUAGAUUAUUCUAAUUUGUAAAUUAAAGAUUCCUAACAUGAAUAUUUUAAACUAGAUUAUGAAUUUUGAUGGUUAGGAACCUUUAAUUUCAUAAAGAUGACAUCCUUAGCAUAAAAACUUCAUUAAUGGAAAUGGAUUAAGCUUAAAAGAAACUAUUUAAUUGUUAAUUGGCCUUGGAGAACUAUGUAGAACUUGAAUUAAGAAUAUAAUUAGUGGGUUUGAAUCCCCAAGAUAUUUGUUUUAAGAGUAAUUAUUUAAUUACUCUUAUUGUAGCUUGAUUUUUAGAUCAUUGAUUGUUUCAAGACAUGAAUAAAAAGAAAGUGUACCCUUGCUAUGACUUGAUUUUUCCAAAAUCUUGGGGUGUCUACGUAGGCUAGGUUAAUGAUUCAAAGAUUUUUUUAUUUUAUAUUUUCAUAAAAUAUAAUUGAUGAGAGGAAGUAUGUCUAAUCCUUCGGGCAUAGAGUUGAGGUGGAUAGAGACAUAAGAAAUUCACUUUAAUCCCAAAAAUUAAAUUGUUGAUUGAUUAUGUGUUAUUUAUGAUAUUAGGUGUUAUGUGCCCGAAAGGACAUUGUUGUAAAUUUGCUAUGUGGAAAUAAUGUUAUUUAGUUAUUUAGUAAAGAACCUAGUUGAUUUAUAAUGGUAUUAAGUUGUAUGUGUUGUGCAAUUAUAAGAUGAGGAGAAUUAUGUUAAGAUUGAAUAUCGAUGAGCAUAGCAAUAUCUAAGGAUUAGAUGACUUAAAUUAGUGUGAUGAUUGUAUUAUGUGAAAAUAGGUUGAGGAUAAUGAUACGCUUAAAUGUGCUGGUUAUAGUUGAUGAUGUUAGAACACAAGUUUUGGUAUUUAAGAAGGUAGUUCUAUUUUAAUAAUUAAUGAGUAAUUAAGGCUCCAGUAGCGACUUGUAUGCCUAAGUGUUAAAUUGUGAUUUAUUUUAUGAUAUUCAUGUUUUGCUACUAAUAAAAAUACUUUAUCUAUUAGAUACAUAUUAGAGGCUAAAUUGGUGAUAAUGAUAAUUUAUUGAAUUGUGCCUAUAAGUCAUUUGUUUGACAAUGAUUACCUCUUUGAAUUAAAUCCAUGAAUGCCUUAAACAUGAUCAUGAUGAAUUAUUGAAAUAAUGUCCAUGAGAGGGUCAAAAUGUUGAUAAUGAAAAAACAUGAUCGAAUUGCCUUAUUAUUUUAAGCGCACUUGUAAAUUUAAUACGUUGUAUUGAUUCUUAAGAGAUAAUGUGAAUUUGAUAAAAUGUGUAUAAUAUAGUUAUUGAUGAUCGGGUACCACGCCGGUAUAAAUAUGAAUAUUGAUAUUACUUAUUUUUUAAGGUUUAGGUACCACACCAGUAUUAAUAUGAAUAUUAGUAUUACUUAUUUAUGAAGGAUCAGGUACCAUGCUGGUACAAAUAUAUAUAUAUAUAUAUAUAUAUUACUUAUUUAUGAUGUAUCUGGUACCAUGAUACUAUGAAUAUGUAUGCUGAUGUUACUUAUUUAUUUAGGAUUGGGUACCACACAUGUAUGUUACAUAGACUAAAAUUGUCCCCUACAGGUUCUGACUAGUUGUGCCAAAAUAAUUCCCUUAGAAUAUGUGUGCAGAUUAGUACUAAUUUUUAAUGUAAUGGGGGUUUAAUAAGAUGAUAAUAAGCUAAUGGUUUUCUAAUGUUAGGUUUAAAAGGACAUACUUGUUAUUUAUGAAAAGAUUGUUAGUAGUAAUGUGACCGACAUUAAAUUUCUAUAUUGUUGUGAGAUGUGAUUGGAUAGAAUGCAACUAGCCGGCAUGGUGAUUAUACUAAUAAUAAAGGAAUUGAUAAUGAAGUGUUCCAAAGUGAUGAAUCCUAUGAAUAAUUCCAAAGAAAUGAUCUCAAACUUCAAUAAUUGAAUUAAUCCUUUUUCAAUUGUAUGUAUAUAUUUGUUAAUGAUACUUGAGUUCUUUAAUGUGUCUUACUAAAAUAUAGUUGUAUUGUUUUUCCAACUUGAUUGUAUCCUUGAUAUUAAUUUUGUGACAUGUUCUUGGAUAAGUUAAAAUGUGUUUUUAGUUUUUAUAUGUUGGUCAACUUGAUUAAUUCGUAGUUAUCAUAAUAAUAGUUUACCUGAAUAGCUAUUUAUUAUUUCUUAAUGUUAUAAAAAGAGUGGUUCAUUAUUAUCCCAAGAGUUUAGUGUGAGUUGUCUAUGAUUAUUAGGUUUAUCCUAUCAAUGCGGGUAGUAAAAAAAGAUAAUGUAAAUAAAGGAGUGAUAGUGAUGGUUUAGUGUAGCACUGUGGUGGAUGGUGCGGAUUAAUGAGGUUGGACUAUGCUAGUGGUGAAUAUAAUCAUGUUGAUAGAGUUGGAGAAUUAUAAAUUAUACAGGGAAAGUGUUAUAAUGAUAUUACAAUCUUUGUUGAAUUACAUUCCAUUUAAGAUGUCAUGCUUUCUUUUCUUUGAUUCUAUUUUAUAAUUAUAUAAACUAACAUUGGCUGACCAAUGAUGACUACUAGUAUGUGUGUCUUUAAUGACCCUACUCUUCUACUUUCUUUCUUGGAAUGUACAUUGGAUAAAGGUUAAUUUGCAGUUACUCGAUCAAUGGUGAUAUUCAACACUAACUUCUGUACCUCUUUCAUGGUAGAUGUUAGAUUCUUUAUGUUAUUAGUUUGACUGUUUUUAUAUUCUGUAAUAGGUAGCUCUUGUACACGUUUGACCUAGUCUUAGGGUAGUGAAGUACAAGUUUAAGAACUUUUUGAAAAAAAAUGAUUUAUUCAUGUUGAACUUACUUUAUUAUAUUUAAUCCUUUAUUUUCUUAAAAACAAAAGUCUUCUACAAAUUUUUAGUUGGGUAAUAAGGGUUCUCCUACCUACUUAGAUAGUGUAGGUGCUCGCACAGUCUUUUACUUUGGGUCGUGACAUAAUAAGACAAGUUCAAAUAUGACAUCCAUAAUGAUAUUAUUUUUUUGUUUGAGUUUGGUAUUCAUAAUAAUAUUUCCAAUUAAAUCUUAGCAUUGAGGGAUUGCUUAUCAUGGUUAUGGAACUUGUUCAAGUCUGAUGAUUAUGGUAUGGGAGGAUCCACGAUGAUGAUUUUGAGUUUUGGAUGUUAUAUUAGUAUUACUAUCCAAAUUUCCUUCUUCAUAGCAUCUUUCAGGCUUAUAAGGGCCCAGUAGGAUUAUUUAUGUUUGUAUGCCCUUUUCGGGCUUAUGGGUCCCCAUUUAGGCUAUAGUAAGCCAUGUUCUCUUUGAUAUUAUUUAAUUGGUUAUUUACUUUUAGUAUUUAGAGCACUGUUCCACGUUGGCCCUUUUCACUGACCUUUGUUUAUUAUCACAUAUAUUAUUGUAUUUAUAUUAUUAUUUAAAUCCAUCAAAUAAUGAUUCCUACCGAGUACUCAUUGUUUUUUUACUUAUAAUGUACUUCUACAUCUUCUUCUAAUAUAGAACCAAGUACUAGCUGUUGGCAAUUCUGUUUGGAGAUAGGAUGAGUUUUUGGAGGUGGAUCUUACUUUCUCUCCUUCUAUUUAUGAUAGUCUUUCUAUUUGAGGCUAUUGUAUUUUAGAUACACAUCGUACUCUUACUAUUUUUCUAGAGGCUUUGUACUGACCUUACUAUGUCUUUGGAUAUUUUUUCUAUUUUCCUUACUUAUCUUCAAUUGUGCUAUUGUGCUCAUAUUUUAGCUUGUAAUCUAAUUACUUGCAUAAUUUUUGUACUUACUAUAGUUACAAACAAUUAGCCCUUUGCUUAUUUUUGUAGGUUGAGGUUCAUCUUACCUACAGGUGGGUUAAAGUAGGUGCCAUCAUGACUCAUGAAUUUGGGUCAUGACAAGGGUAUUAAUGUGGAUCCAUCUAAGAUUGAGGUUGCUUGAUAUUGGUCCAAUCCUACCUCACCUACAAAACUUUGGAGCUUUAUUAGGUUGGAUAGAUUCUACAAUCUAUUUUUUCAUAACUUCUAUACUAUUGCAGCUCUUUUAAUGGAUUGACUCAGAAGAUUGUUGUCUUUUAGUUGUCAGAUGAGUGUGAUAAAGGCUUUUAAAUCUCAAGAAUUUGUUGACUUCAGCGCCUAUAUUGACCUUUGUUGUUAAUGGCAAAGGUUCUAAAGUAUAUUGUGAUGCUUCAGGAGUUGGACUUGGGGUGUGUUGAGGAAAAAAGGAAAGGCUAUAGCCUAUGCUUCGAGCUAAUGAAUAACCAUGAGAAAUUCUACCUCACUCAUGUCUUUGAUUUGGCUGUAAAAAAGGAAACAUCAUGGCCUUGUAAUAUUUGUUUUAAGAGUGUAGUGGAAAUACUUGUAUGCAGUUUGUUAUGAGAUGUUUACCGACCAUCGAAACCUUUAGUAUAUAUUCAACUAGAAUGAUUUGAAUUUGAUACAAUAUAAGUAGUUGGAGUUAUUAAAGGACCAUGACAUAACAAUCAUCAAUCAUUUGUGUAAGGCCAAUAUAAUGGCAGACGCCUUGAGUAGAUGUUACUGAGUAUGGGUGCUUUCUUUUUUGGUGGCCUAGCCACAACUGUAAGCUAUGAAUGUUUAGUGUCAAUCCAAUAGCUUCAUAUGACUUAAUAUGUCUGAGCCUAUCAAAGUUCAUAUCUUUGUCGAGGUGCAUUCCUUUUUGAUAGAUUAGACACAGUAUAGACUGUUUGAGGAUAGGAACUUGUGUAAUGUUCAAGAUAAGGUGAUAUGUGGUGAAGUGAAGGAAUCAAUUCCUGAUACGAAAUGGACUAUGAUGAUCAAGCAUCAGAUUUUAGAUCCUAGAGUGGGUGACUUGACUAAAUUGAUCAUGGAGAGUCUCACAUUUAAAGGUACUAUAUUCAUCUUGGAGAAGUAAAAAUGUCUCAUGACCGUAAGAACAUUUUUGGUGAUGUGGAAUAAAGAGGGACUUCAUGGAGUAUAUGGCUAAGUGUUUAAAUUGCCAACAGAUAAAGCAUGAGCACCAGAGACAGUGGUAUAUAUGACUCAAGAAUGCUUGUACAUGAGUGGAAGUAGGAGUUCUUCACUAUGGACUUUUUGGCUGGUUUGCCUUAUACUUUAUUAAAUUCUCUUCUAAGUUAAAAUGUGAAAACAUCUAUGCUUUCUUCCAACAAUAAGUAGUCAUUUAGUAGUAUGUAUAAAAAUAGUGAAAAUAUGGUAUACUACUAAUUCUAAUAUUUGUUAUGCUUACAUUACUCAAGAUGAUAUUUUUCUAAUAUGGUGUUUGGUUGGAUGUUGUAAAAUUUGACUCAUAUUUGGGUGAUUAUGGUUAGAUCGAAAUCAGCUUCUCUAUACUGAUUAAGUGAACUACCAUGUUGAGAAGUUGGCCAGGAUCUUUAUUCUAGAGAUAGUUUAGUAGCAUGGUGUACUCAUUUCAAUCAUAUUAGAUAGAGGUACUUAGUUCACUUCAUACUUUGGGAGUUCCAUACAACAAAGGUUAGACAUUUUACUGGAUAUUAGUAUAACUUUUCACUCUCAGACAGAUUGUUAGUCAGAGCAGAUUAUUCAGGUUUUGGAGGACAUGUUUCAUACUUUUAUAUUAGAUAAGCAUAGAAUUAAUUCUUUCUUUUUUUUAUCUUAUUUAUACUUGUUAUUCUAUCUUAUUUACUUAUUUGUACAUUCUAUAUAUGUACUGACAGUUCUACAACAUAAGGUUUUGUAUUCUUUUAAAUACAAAAAUUAUUAGACAUAGUGGCAACCUCCAUAGUAGCCACUAUUGUGUAGCAGCACAGUAGUUGGGGAACUUUAUUGCCCCUAGAUCCAGUUUAGAGAUAAUACACUCACAGUAGUAUAUAUUUGCACUGUAAACCUUAAUUGAGGACUUGAUAGUUUCAUAGCUUCCUAAUCGUUUAGAUGAUUCUGGACACUAUAGUAGGACUAUUUUGUAUCAAUCAGUGAUAGGUCAUGGUAUAUGAAUGUAUCAUCAUUAUCAGUUAUCAUUGGUACAUAAAUCUUUCAAAUAUUAGGCCAUGAUAUAUGCAUGUAUCAUCCUUAUCAGUUUACAUUAGUACACAGAUAAUUGAUAUAUAAUCUGUCAGAUUAUAUGUAAAGUAUAUAUGUUCAUAUGGUACUUAUCUACCCCAUCAAAAUUUAAGGUGUGACAAUAUAAAUGAAAUGAUCAGAUAUAUGUAGGCAUUAGCAUUGUGCUGUUUUGUCCUAUAAUCGAGCUAUGUUGGCACCUACUAUAACUGCCUGUAGGAAAGCAAAAGUCAUAACCAAAUAUGAUAAGUAAUUAGUUAAUAACAAUAACAAAAAUAUAAAUGGGGACAAUGGACCACUAUAUACAUAUACAAUAUAAAAUAAAUGAACUAGGCCCUGCGAGGAAACAAAGAGAACAAAAUUAAAUAAUAAUACCCAACCCCAGACCUAGUUUCACUGGCAUAAGUGCUACUAUGUUAAAGAGUAGCAAUAUAUAUCAAUACAAAUAUAUGAAAAAUAUACUAAAUUCAGAUAUUUAUAUAGAAGGAAUAAAAAUAAGUGUCAAGACUUUAUCAGCUCACCGCAGGUUAUAGAAUGAAUAAGAUCAACAAAGCUGACUCGAUCUAAGAUCUGCAUGAAAAAAACAUACAAAAGUGUUUCAUGAGCACCAAAUCACCAAGCACUCAAUGGAUAUCAUUGAUACACUAAGCUCAAAACGUAAUUCCCAAUAUAAACCAAAAUAAAAGACAACUUGCUCAAAGAAAAAUCCAGUUAAUCUAAAGAUCAAAAAGAUGUAGGAAGAAUAUUAUUAGUACAACCACCAGUAGGGGAGAUAUCAUCGGAUGACCAGGAUUAUUUCAUGCAAAACCCAAAAUAGAUAAAUAUGACGAUUAAAAAUUUAUUUUAAAUCACUUUCACCCACUUAUGAUAUCUCUCUCUCUUAUAUCACCUGAGAGUAAUUUUAUUAUUGUUCACACUGACUUAGUUGUAUCCAAUUCAUUACUAGUAAGCAUUUGUACCGCUGAUAUUUCCCAUAUACAAUUACACUUAAUGUCUCCCAUAAUACAUCACUUUUUACAUCAUAUAUAAUCCAUCAUACUCCUCCACCCACAACUUAUGAAAACCCAACAAAAUGAGAAUUAAGUACUGCAACUAGAACAUCCAAUUGUUGAUUUAAAAUAUAAAUGGUCAUCAAUUAGAAUUCAAUCAUUAAGUAAGCUUUCGGAUCAUCAAGUAGAUAUUUAAUUUAUCAAGUUGGAUUUCACUUCAUCACUAGACAUUAAAGUGUUCAUGUAAGCAUUCAAUUCAUCAAAUAGACAUUCAAGUAUUCCCGUAAGGUUUCAAUUCAUCACCUAGACAUUCAAUUCAUUAGGUAAGCUUUCAAUUCAUUAAGUAGACAUUCAAAUCAUCAAAAAUCUUUAAUAAUGCUCAAUCAAUAAUUUCAUACAGGGGUAAAUUACACCGUUUCAACUUAAAAUAUAGGACAUUAAGACAUUCAUAAUCAUAUUACCAAGUUGUCAUAUCAAGGAUCUCCUCACACAAGAAAUCAUAGCAUAGUAUACAACAUAAAUUGGUCACCAGAAGGAAUAAUAAGUAUCUCCUCAAUAAAACUUGCCCAGACAAAAAACUGUAAUAUCUCAUCAAAUAACUGAUUGACACAAGGAACAAUAAUAUAUCAUUAAAUAUAAAACAAUCCACUAAAGUAAUCGUCAAACUCUCCAGUUAUACUGUACACCCAUGAUAUAGGACUUAUGGUUGCCCACUAGACAUAACCUUUAGGGGAUGAGCUUUUUCCAUGUACCAAAUCAUAAUAAAAACUUUAUGUCUUUCCACCUUUAUCCCAAACCAAAUAUUGUACCACCUUUAUUUUAACAUUACUCCUUUAUACCACCUCAAUCCAACAACUAGAACCAAAGAUCAAAUGUGCAACAUCAAUUAUUUCGUAAUAUCAAAUAUAAUUCAUCAAGAAAGUUUAUUAUUAAUGCUCUUUAAACUAUUUUUUCAAAUUUUAUCACUUAAAAACAUGUCCCAAAAACAAAUAAAUAGUUUAUUCAUUCAAGCAUUAUAAAAUAACAACUUAUCAACCAUAAGCAUGUCUAAAAACUAAUCAACAAAUAAUCAAUUAAGAGCACAAAUUCAAUAUAAAAUUAAGUCUAAGAACCAAUUUUAUAAAUAUGUACAUAAAUGCAUACUUCCACGAGUUUACAAUUUAUCCCUAGAUACAACACAAUUAAAUCCUCAACUUCCAUCUUAAUUAAUGUCAUACCACAAUUAAACCGUAAUCAAUAUACCACAUACAAUAAUAACCAUAGUUUAUUCAUCUUACAAUAAGUUAUGUUAUACUAUCUAGUCAAGACUUUCUCAAACUUUAUGAUAGAACACUAUUUUGUUUUUUCAGUCAUAAUCAACAUGCCGCGCCAAUUUACAGUAUAGCAAAUAAGUAGCCAUAACACAUCACACACAAAUGAUUACCAUUAUAUUAUACACUACAAAUUUUAUUUUACAAUAGAUCAUGAAAGUCAUUCAAAAAUAUAUCACAACUCAAGGUAUUCAUAUAUAAGCACAUUGUAACACAUAUUAUAUCUUUAUAUCAUUAGUUUUGUUUUUAUCCACACUAACAUAAUGCUCAAUAGUCUAAUCACACAUUCUCCAAUCAAUUCUACAUAAUGUAUAUGCUUAACAAAGUAGAGCACUAUUCAUAAAUCAUAAUAUACCUCAAUUUAGAGGUUUUGCAAUAAGCAAGCUAUACCGUGAAUGCUCUUUCGUUCCUUCACAUUUUUAGAAUGCUUAAUCAUAUAAUAAACACAAAAAAAUAACAAUAAUUACUCAAAUACUCUUAAAAUAAAUAUUUUGGAAAUUCAAACCCCCUAAUCCUAUACUUUUUCUUGGUCUAUAACAUCACCUAAGGGUUAUUUGAUCAUUAAAAAUUUCUAUCAUACUCAUAUUAUUCCAAUUAAUAGAGUUUCUACUCCAGUUACCCUUUUUUCAUAAGUAUUCAAGAUAAUGAUUCUAUUCUUUAUUAACUCGGGGUUUUCUAUCACCAUUAAUCAUGUUCUAAAACCAUAAUUUCAUACUAAAUAGAGUUAUUUUGUGAUCUCUAAUUAAUUCGAGGUGAUAAUUCCCAAACCCAUAGGUUUCUCCCCAAAAUCUCAAGAACCUAGGGUUCAAAAUUUCAUGAUUCUAGGGUUUUAUUUUGGAAUUCAACUAUUAAAGAUCACUCUACAAUUUCUAAGAUAUAAUUGGAUUAAUAUAAGUAAAAGAUGAAGGAAAAUUUAUCACAAUAAUUUCUUUUAGCAUAGCUUUGGGAAAAUUACCUAUAUAGGAUUGUGGAAUGAUGUUUUGAGUUUAUAACUUGUAAAUUUUCAAAGGGAGGCUUAUAAAUUACCAAAUUGUCAUUGCAGUAGCCCCACUACAGUACCCUAAUCCUAUUGCGCGGCAUCAGUUUUUUAGCACUGAUUCCAUUCGAUAAAAUAGACAUAAAUUUUUAUUUUGAUGUUGUAUUAUCAAAUGGAUGUUGGCAUUUUAAAAAGUCUCAAAGACCUUUAAUUCAGUAGACCAUGGAUGACGUAACUCUUUAUAUUUUAUGUUAGGUUAUCCUUUAUAGUUGACCCUAGUAUAAACUUACAAACUCAACUGGCACAGACACUUCAAACUUAACAUUGUGAUAGGAGUUUUUAAGAACUUAAUUUAUAGCCUAUAAAAUUACACACUAAUUAAUUUAUGUUAAUACUCAUGAAAAAAGUAAAUUUUAUCGAGUAUUACACAAAAAGGAGAGAUGAAAUCAUAGCUUGAAAGCUUGAGGUGGUAGAAUGAACAAAGUAAUUUCUAUUUUGGACUCACAUGCAUAUUGGAGAGUGAAAGAUAAAAAAUUUCAUGCCCUUAAUGUAGAUAAUUAAGUAACAACUGAAUGAGUUGUUACAUUUACACCUUUUAUUUGAGUAACCAAAAUCCUUAUUAAAAAUUUCAUUUUGAAAAGACCAAAAUAGAAUUUAACAUUAUGAAUUCCUAAUUUUUCCUAAAAACUAGGUGCCAAUUAUUAAAAAAGUUUAAAACUAGAGAUUUUCCAUAACUCUGAAUCCAAGCUAAUGAUGGAACCUAGCCCAACCUAAAUUUGGUGGGUAAGCUUAACUCCUUAAGAUAUAAAAAGACAAACUAGAGAUAAAUUAUACUUAAAUACAAGACCUGUAAUGCCCCGAGUCUAUAUCCCGAAUGCUACACGGUGCUUACAACCCCAAUGGAGAACAAGCUAACCCAUGAAUGAUAUCUACUGUGAGCACCGAAUAAUAAUACUAAAAUAAAUGGAAAAUUAGGUUGAAUUUCCAUGAGGUUCAUAAUCUAAAUACUAAUAAAUAAUAACAUCUAGUAUAAAUAUUUGAAAAACUAAACACUGUCUGAACUGGUCUAGUCUGAAAGCUUCUAACUGAACUGUCUAAAUAUGGAGUUGAUGGGACAAGCCCCCAACGAACUCCAACUAAUGCACUACUGAAACUACUGAAUUGCUGAAAUAAUAAAAUAUCCUCGAUAGAUGAGGACUCACUCCUAAAGCUUCGACUGCUGACCAAAUCUAUCUAAGCGCGGUUGAGAACCUUAACAUCCGAACCUACGAUAUGAGAUAUCAUAGAAUAAAGAAAAAGUAUGCAUUAGUAUGUGGAAUGUACAGGUAUGCUAGAUGAGGUUAAGCUAAAUGCAAGGGUUCAUAUGCAUGAACAGUAACUGACUGAAUGAUAUAGAGUAACCAAAUAUGAGAGUACAUGGAUAACUGAACCUGGUAUAAGUACUGAGUAUUUAAUACUAUGCACAUACAUAUAUAUAUAUAUAUAUUGUAUCUGAGCUUUUCUAAAGCUAAAUACUAAGUUAUGAUAACUGAGUAACUGAUCUCUAAAGUUACUGAUAACGAAAUUACAGAUACUGAGUGACUAUGUCUGACAGUCCUAAUUCUGUAAAACUAAACUGAGUUCUAAACUAAUAUUGAAACUGAGACUGUGUGAGGUAAUCAUCUAAUCGACCUGCCAAAAUCUUAGUUAAUAGGGGUCCAACCUGUGUCACCAAUUGGAAGGGUAAUAAUACCAUGCCAGGGGUACUAACAAUGGAAAACCAAGAUUCCAAGCCUAACUAACGGGUAACACCUAGGUGGAGUCAAGCCUAAUCAAACUACAAUAUCUCAUAUUUCUACCUAACUUAAGAUCAUCUUAAAAAUGUUAAAGACGUGAUUUAAAGGAUUAAUCCACUUUUAUAUAUGUGGAAUUUUGAAGAUUUUGACUUUUUGUUGCGUGGGAAAUUUAAUAAACUUUUUGUCGAUACCAAAUUUGCCCAAAUCCGAUACCCUGGUGAAGAGUUAAAGUCAUUUUAGUAAGACAAUGUGCCACCUGAGACAUCAACACAUCGCGGAGUAUGCCAAAAUAGGAAUCAUCAAAGUCCAAUGAGCCUCCAAGAUUAUGGCGCGUAAUGCCAAGGAUCAAAUCCAUAGUUGUCAAUUUCUAGUGUCUCAGCGUGAUACCACCGUAUCGCUGUAAGAUUCUAGGUCCCAUCAGUAUUGUAAUGCAAUUUCACCACGUCACGUUAUCAGCCUAGUUCCCAGUUGGAAAUAUCUAGUGGCACGAUGCGAUAGAGCCGUGUCGCACAAGGUUCCCAAAUUGGGUUUUCAGUCAUAAAAGUAAAAAUUUUCUAAGGGCAAUUGGCUCUUUUUUCCAUGACCCAGAUCAGUCUUUAACCACAAAAUUAUACCCUUAAAAUCCUAUUAUAUCACUUUUCCUCACUUUCUCUCAAGAAAAAGUGUAAUUUUCCCUCAAGAGGCAAAACCCCUAUCUCAAGAAAUCAAGGCAAAUUCCAAGAAUCUUUCCAAGAACUUUAAGAAUUUAGAUUUUCAGGUAUGCAUAGUGUUGAUUUAUGGAUUCCUUUCAUCCAUAAAGUUCAAAAAUCCUAUUUCAAAUUAUAAAUCAUGAUUUUUAUGUUGUGGGUUGUUUGCAACCAUGUUUAUCUUAUUGUAUGAUUCCCAAGUUGGGGUCUUUAUGUGUUUUUCAUAAAACUACGUUAGCAUGCAAGUUGAAAUCUGUGAAUUGAGUUCUUUAUGAUGUGUAAUUUGAUGAUUACAACUAUGCCCUAAGUUGUGCAUUUAAGGUAUUUGAUAAAAUGUCUAAGAGGAUAGAAAUUGUGUAUUAUAGCUCAAUUGUGAUCCGUAUGAUAAGUGCAUAUUUUACCCUUAUGUUUAAAUGACUCUCAUGCUAUUGAUGUGCAAUGUAGAUGUUUAUUGAAAUGCUCAUGAUGUUAGAGUAUGAAAUUAUGACAUUGAUUAUAUGCAUUCCUACCAUGUAUGUGAUUAUGAUAACCAUGUACUUUAUGAAAUCCCCAACUUAUUAUAUUAUGGAUUGUUGAUGUUGGUCAUUUAUUCAAGAAUGUCAUGCCUUGUCAGUUUCCUUCUAUCAAGUUCUGGGGGUACUUGUACACGAUAAUUUAGCUAUGUGCCUAGAGCCAGUGUCAGUUUUCACAAUACUCUCGGUCAAGCCAAGAUCAUAGAAUUUAGUCAGUCACAUGACUUAGGAAAACUCAAUAAAUUCAGUAUCAGUACAGUACUCAGUAAUCUCAGUAAUCUUAAUAAUCUCAUUAAUCAAGUAAUCUCAGUACUCAAAAAUCUCAAUCAGUUAUUAGAUCUCAGUAGUAUUCCAUCAGUCAACGGAAUCCAGUGAACUCAGUUCAGUCUAGUUAAUUAAUACAAUCAGUAACAGAUCAGUCCAAUCCAGUUCAGUGUCUAUUCAUAUGGAAGUAGGAUUCAACACCGAGUUAACCCAAGGAUAGGAGCAGACACUGUCAACAGAGGGUGUGAUUCUGUAAAACAAUUCUUGCAUUCCAAAACUAUGUGGCCAGCAUAGGUUGAGACAUCAACACUGUCAGUCGAUGGUUGAUGAGGUGGAUUAAUACUGUCAGAUAAGGAUCCCACCAUUCUCCUUUGGGGAUACUGUUAGAUGAGGGUCACUCAUAGCUUAUCCUUACCAGUGGUGAGGUAUUGAUACCCUUCUAAUUAGGGUUACAAAUUAGACCCCAACUCAGUUGUAAUAACUUAUUGGGGGCAUGUCGGUUAGAUGAAUUCUCCCCCAGUUUUAGUUAUAAAAUUAGGACUGUCAGAUAAGUCUCUCAGUCUCAGUAAUAGAACUCCGAUAGUUCUUCAGAUAUUAGGACUGUCAGAUACAAUCACUCAGUACAAUAUGGAACUCAGCUAGUUGCAUCAAAAUUUAGACUGUCAGAUACAGCUACUCAGUAUCAGUUAUUUCAGUAUCAGUAUUUUAUGUUAUCAGUAUUCAGACUCAGUAGUCAGUAUUACCAAGUAUUCAGUAGCAGUUACUUAUCCAUUCAUGUAUUCUCACAUUCAUGUUAUACAGUUAGUUAGUAUUGUUCAUGAAAAUGAACCCUUUGCAUUCAGCCUACUUCACUUUCAUACCAGUUUAUUCAAUCAUACUGAUGCAUUUUUGCUAUGGUUGUUUAAUAACAUAGGUUCAGAAGCACAAGCUCCAAAGUAUCAGUAGCAUUCCAGUCAGCAGUCAGAGUUAGCAGUGAGUUCUCAUCAUUCGAGGAUAUUAUUAUUUAAUUAUUUUAUUUCUUUAGUACUUAGUUUAUUUCAGUAGUUCAUAGUUAGUUGGGGACAUGUCCUAUCAACUACACCAUUUUUAGACAGUUUAGAGACUUUUAAACUACAGUAUGUUCAGAUAGUUUAUUUCAAUUUUGGGUAUUUCUAUACCUGCUCAGAUAUUGUUUUAUCAGACAUAUUCCAAUAUUGAACCUUACAGCCUUAUAGAUUAUAUUUCACAUUUAUACAGUAUAUCAUGCAGUGCUCUGUUAUAGAUAUCAGUAAUGGGUUAGUUUUUGGUCUUUCGAGGUCAUGGGCACCGUGUACCAUUCAAGGUACCAGACUCAGGGAUUUACACCAAUGGGAGACUAUUGGGAGAUAGUCAAGCCUAGUAUGAUGGGUGAAUCUUAAUCCCGUGCUGGCUACACAGUUCUGUAGUACAUGAACUUCUACUAAUGACUCUGUUUCUCUGAUGGGGAAGCCUUCAUCCCUAUACUCGCUUGAUUUUAAAUCCUUCUCCCAACUGAAAGACACUGAUUAUUAAACUGAACUAAACUGGACUUAUAUUGAGCUUUACUGAGUUUGAAAACUGACUUAGUUUAUGGAAUUCUGCUAACAGAUUGAGUACUACUGAUUGUGACAUGAUUGAUACUAUUUUGUAACUACUGUAGCUCUAGAUAAACAGCUAGAUUUUUUGGUAUUAAAUGCCCCCUAGACUCGAUAGCAUGAAGAGUAAAACAUAACAUGAUCUUGAAAACAAUAACAAUGUUCACUUGUUCAUAAUUCAUCCAUAGAGAUAUUUUAUCAAAUACUUGCAAGGCAUAAGCUUGCAAAUGAUUGGGAUAACAUAAUGACAUCAUGAUUCCACUAUUUACUUCACAUAGGCAAUUUAGCAAAAAUUUGGGGAGCAUGGAUUAUUCACUUGAUAAUGGCAAACACAUGAACAUCAUAAUACAUUAAUCAAUUUGUAAAUUCAAGGGUUUAUAAAGAUAAUCACAUAUUCAUCACAUAUGCUAUUCAAUUUUCAUGAAACUAGCAAUUAAAUCAUGGAUUGAAACCUAACUAAUAUCAUGAACAUGAAUUCAAUCUAAUUCAAACAUGGAAAUCAUGAAUCUCCGAUCUUAUAUGUUUAAAAAGGGUUCUUAUACUGCAUGGGUGAAUGGAACCCAUGAAUGAACACCUAACAUACUAGAAUCUUAUGGAUUCUUGAAGUUCUUGAAGGAUUUAUGGAGGAUUAGUCUUGAUUCUUAAAGCUAGGGUUUUUCCCUUUUGAUAGAAAAUACUUUAUUCUUGAGAGAAAGUGAGGAAAUAAUUACCUGUUAGGUAAUUUAGGCCUUCAAUCCCAUGCUUAGGCUGAUUAGGGAUUUUAGGAAUUGACCAAACAACCUCUGAAUUAAAAUCAUAAAAAAUAAAAAUCUUGAUUUUUCAUGUUGGCGCGACGCAGUGGAAUCGCGCUAGCUUACUAGAAUUUGGAUGACUGAGAACUGGAAGUUUGGCGUGAUAUGGCACCAUCAUGCCGGCUUACUGCAUGCGAAUCUACCUUUUGGCAAAACGUACCAUGAUUGCAUAGUUACACUGGAAAGUGUCAAUUGAGAAAUUAGAUGGUGGUGCGAUACAGUGGUAUCUUGUUAGCUCAUUUAAAAAUGACCAUUGCCAUUUGGUUGGUCUCCGUGACGUGCUGGGUACCAAUUUGGCACACUACUUUACAAUAUUCUAUAACUCUUUAUCAGAGUAUUAGAUUUGAGUGAAUUUUAUAUUGUUGGAAAGCUGAUUGAAUUUCAUACUCAUUGGUAAGCUCUAAAGUUAAAAAUACAAAGUAAUUUAAAAUUUUUACAUAGAAAUUCUCAUGUACUAAGAGUUAAAUAAAUCUUGGGAAGUAUGGGGUAUUACAAUAUCUCCCACUUGGGAAAAUUCACCCUCGAAUGAGAUUGAUUAAGUUUAGAAACACUGAUAGACUAACUUUACAAACUGAGCAUGCAUAUAUGAUACAUGAAAUACAUGACUGAAGCUACUGAUGAGCUAAAUUUUCAUACUAAACAUGCAUAUCUGAUGCAUGAGUACAUGGCUAAACUAUUCAUAAAUGCAUGACUGAAUAUGCAACGGUAAUAGAUACCAAUUUUAUAACUGUAACUGGAUAUAGAACUGUGUAAAGCUAAGGAAGACUAUUUCCUCAAGCUGAAAAUACUAAUGAACUUGUGAUCAUUUACUCAACAUGUAUGAACGGGAACAUGAGAACAUGACUUAGUCUGAAACAUGAUACAUAUACUGAAUAUCAUGAACUGAACUAAUUCCUUGAAUGCAUGCCACAUAAUAGGAAUGGUCAUACAGCUGUGAUUGGAAUAAGAGAGUCAACGUAAGAGUACCCAUUACUUCAAACUGGAUCUCGUUACAUAAAGAUAAAAUGGAAGAUUUAGGACAUGAAAGCUCAGGUUAAUAGUGCAUCUUUUCCUUGGGAUAUUUUGUUCCCUAAAGAAUGCUGACUUGGCUGAGAUACUGAGAAAAAACUAAGAAAAUAAAUGGGGCACCAACGAACUGAUUCUUAACUAAAUAUCUGCGCUCUAAAAAUGAGGCAUGAUACAUUAAUAGAGCCGAACUCGCAACUACCUAUUGCUCUAUCUUGGAUUGGGCAUAUUCGUGAGACUUUGAUGGGAAACCAUACAAACUUGUUUGCUUGACUGCUAAACUGAAUUAUUGGAUUUACAGACUAACUCAUACUAGAAACUUAUAUUCAACUAGAGCAUUUCUUGGCAAUCUUUCUAUAAUGUUCUACUGAUUUUAGGGAGCAGGAGAUCUUGGCAUGGUCUAAAUAAGACAUCUGAAUGAGAAAUCACCACAUGGAUAAAAUUCUUUAAUAUGGUCAUUGAUAAUUCUACCUUCUAAGGUCUGAGUAGGACUGAGUUCUUGCACUAUGUUCAAUCCUAUGCAAAUCUUCGAAAUGUAUUUAGCCCCUUACAUAUCAGCAGGACAUUCAAGCCUAUCAUCAUAACUACAACAAGUAUGCAACAAUCUUUCCUUAAUAUGAAAUAUUUACUCUUUUCUAUCUAAAAAGCUUCUCAUCACUACAUUAUUUGAAAAGGAGAGUUCACUGAUGGUUAAAACAUGAGGACCUAAAGCAUGAAUGGACAUUAUACAGAACUUGACACUUAACUGAGGCCUGGGGAAUAGAAUAUCAACCUGAUAGAUUUAUCAAGAGAUCUAGACUGAGGAUAUACAUAACAUGAAUAUGAAUUUAGCUGAUCAUUAGAAGUAUAGCAUGAGUCAUAGAAACUGAGCAUGAUGUAAAGCAUAACAUGAGUACAUGAGUCAUGAGAUACAUGACCUGAGUUUGGAGUUUCUGUAUUUAUGUAACAUGAUUCAUAACACUGAGUGAACUAAAACUCCUUAUACUAGGAAUGAUAAGUAUACAUGAUUUUUGAUAAUGUGCACAAAUAUGGGCUAUGAUUAUAGAGUUGAAGUAUACUAUAUAUGUAGAUAUCAUUAUAGCUGAUGUGUAAAACUUUGCACUGAGGUAAGGAUUGGUUGGGCAUCAACUUCUCCCACUACUUUUCUACACAAACUGACAUUAAUAAUAAAAUCUGAAAGUCUAACUUGGUUACAUGUUCUACCAUCUCCCCCUUAGCUUAAAGCCAUUAUUCUAAGUUUGUGAACCCUUUAAUAAACUCUAAAUCAAACUAAAACCACUUUACUCUAGAGCCCGAGAUAUAACAAUACUCAUAAAUAGUAGACUCCUUAUGAAGGACUACUCUUGAUAAUGUAAGGUCCACUGCUAGUACUUCCUUCUAAUACAUGAUUCUUAGCUUUCUAUUGCCCCAAUAAUCAUCAUAUAACAACCUCAACACUGACUAACUUAGAAUUCUCAACUUCUUUUUCUACUAGUUCAAUCUAGAGAAUCAAACUUAAAUCAACUGAAAUUGAGGUACUACCCCCUUCAUUCAAUGAUUGGUCCACUAGGAAACUGAAAUGGAAUGACUCCAUUACUAAAAUUAAUUGAAAGGAUUUUCUCAAACAUUGUUCCAAUCAAUUUCUAUAUGUUCUUCUGUCUGGAAUAGAUUUACCUACUGAGGUAAGCACUAAGAAAGGUUUUGUUAAGAUUUCUAGUCUGACUUAAAGUUGACUGCUAUGUAAGGAGUUACAAAAGACAGAUAAUAUCGUAGAUCUAAUAAAGCAUUAAUAUGUAAAUGAAAGAUCUUUAAUGUACCAGUGACCACGUCAGGAGAGCUUUCCUGAUCUUGUUUUGAGUGAAGUGCAUAAAGCCUAUUUGGGCAUUGCCCAUUUGAGGCACUGGAAGUGGCACCCUACUGAUUUGGGUGAUCAAACUAAGCUGAAGGACGAUUGUACUGACCCUGUGAACAUGACUAAGGACAAUCUUUAACUUUAUGUCCUGGCUUGCCACACUUGGAACAUACAUCAUUGCUAGCUCUGUAGAUACCAUAAUGGUUUUCGUUAUAUGUCUGACAAAGAGGAUUUGUUCUAGUACUGCUUACACUACCUUGAGAUUUCAAGCCUAGUACCCCAUCUUUGUUACCAUUUCUAAACUUAGGUACUAGAGCAAUGGAUGAGGAUAGAGCUAAAAGUGAAGUUUUAGGAUGAAACUAGAAAUAGUUAACACCCUCAGACUUAGGCUGAUUGAAAUUGAAACUACCUGUUCUAGAUCUCUUGUUCUCCCUCUACCUCUUUUUAUUCUUAGCCUCUUUUAUUUGCUAAGCAUGGACCAUAAGCCUAGAUAUGUCCAUCUCCUUAAUUAGUAUCACUGUUCGACACUCCUUAGCAAUACUUUCUGAUAUCCUAAACAUGAACUUGCUUAUUUUGGACCUACUUUCUGUUACUACAUGGGGAGCAUAUAGUAAACUUUAGGGUAUACUCUUUCACACUCAUACUACCCUGCCUGAGAUUGAUGAACUCUAGUACCUUGUCUUCUCUCAGCUCUAAAGGAAAGAAUCUAUCUAGAAAAGUAGUAGCAAACUCUUCCCACUCUAUGGGCUCUGCAUCUGUGCCCCUAUCUACCCUCCACUUCUUAAACCAUGUAUGAACUACAUCUUGUAGCUAAUAGGUAGCUAAAUCAGCACUCUCACUAGACGUCACUCCCAUAAUAUUUGUGACUUUCUAAACCUAAUCGAUAAACUCAUGUGGAUCCUCUUAUGACUUAGAUCCAGAGUAUACGGGAGGAUUCAUUUGGGUAAAGUCUUGAAUCCUGACUGUAGCAGUAUUGGCCACUGGGUUGGCCUAAAAAGAAGACGACCAUUCAUUCUGAGUUGUCAUAGAAUUGGCUAGAUUAGUGAAUGCCACUCUGAAUUCUGCAUGGGAAACAUGCUCGCGUAGGGGAUCUGCCUGAUGGGCAAAGGUGCUGAUUGAUUUCAAGUUCUUAUUUUUUUAGUCUUUUUGGGAUGCAUGCUCUAUAACAUGAAGGAAGAAAAGGAUUAGACUGAGAAUUUAUCUUGAGCUCAUGCUCCUUUGCACGAUAUGAAUACUAAAAGAACGAAAACUUUUAAUAAAACAUCUCAUAACCUCCCGUCCAUAUGUGUGGUUCUCUACACACCCAUGUACAAGACUCUAUUUGAUGCAUCUUUCAGACUCUCCAGGAUUCUAUUGAACCUUAGGCUCUGAUACCAAGUUUGUAAUACCCCAGUAUGUACCCCGUAUGUUACAUGGUGCUUACAACCGUGAAGGACCCCAAGCAACCCAUGACUUAUAUCUACUAUAAGCACUGAAUACUAAUACUAAAAUAAAUGAGAAAUUAGGUUGAAUUUCCAUAAGGUUCAAAAUCUAAAUACCGAUAAAUAAUAAGAUCUGGAAAAAAAAACUGUAAAACAAACACUCUAUGAACUAGUCUAGUCUGAAAUCCUCUAACUGAACUGUCUGAACAUUGAGUUGAUGGGACAAGCCCCCAACUAACUCCAACUAAUGCAAUACUAACACUACUAAAUUACUGAAAUAAAAACAUAUCCUCAAUAGAUGAGGACUCAAUACUAAAUCUGCCACUACUGACUGGAUCUGUCUAAGCGCGGUCGAGAAUCUGAGUGCCUGAACCUAUGAUAUGAGACAUCAUAACACAAAAAAAGAGUAUGUAUAAGUACGUGAAAUAUACUGGUAUGCUUGAUGAGGUAAGGAUAAAUACAAGAGUUCAUAUGCAUAAACAAUAAGUGACUUAUUGAUAUAGAGUAACCGAGUAUGAGAGUACAUGGACAUCUGAAACUGCUAUAAAUACUAAGUAUUUUAUAUUGUGCACAUACAUAUAUAUAUAUUGUAUCUGAGCAUUUUUGAAGCUAAGUACUGAGUUCUGAUAGUUGAGCAACUGAUAUUCGAAGUUAUUAAUAACUGAAUUACUGAUACUGAGUGAUUGUGUCUGACAGUCCUAAUUUAUAGAACUAAACUGAGACUAAAAAUGAGACACUGGGAGGUAAUCAUCUAAACUAUAUGCCCCAAAUCUGAACUGAUAGGGGUCUAACCUAUAAUCCUAGUUCGAAGGGUGCUAAUACCAUGUCACGGGUACUAACACUAGAAAAAAUAGGAUGCCAAGCUAAAUUGACGGGUGAUACCUGGACAGAGUCAAGCCUAAUCUAAUGAGUGACCCCUAGGAGGUAGUCAAGCCUAUUUUGAUGGGAUAAUCAUCAUCCUGUGUUGGCUACACAAUUACGGAGUACAAGGACUACUACUAACUACUCUACCUCUCUGACGGGGAAGCUGUCAUCCCUGCACUCACUCGGUUCUAAAUCCUACUCCUAACUGAAAGACACUGAUUAUUAAACUGAACAGAACUGGACUGAUAUAAAGCUUUACUAAUUUUGAAAACUGACUGAGUUUAUUGAAUUCUGCUAACAUACUGAGUACUACUGAUUGUGACAUGACUGAUACUUUAUGUAAAUACUAUAGCUCUAUUUAAACAGCUAGAUUUUCAGGUAUUAAAUAGCCCCUGAACCCGAUAGCAUGUAAAGUAAAACAUAACAUGAUCUUAAAAAGUAUAACAAUGUUCACUUGUUCAUAGUUCAUCCAUAAAGAUACUUUACCAAACACUUGCAAGGCAUAAGCUUGUACAUGAUCGGGACCACAUAAUGACAUGUCAUGAUUCCACUAUUGUAAAUUUGUAAAUUCAAUGGUUUAUCAAGAUAAUCACAUAUGUAUCACACAUGAUAUUCAAUUUUCAUGAAACUUGCAAUUAAAUCAUGGAUUGAAACCUAACUAAUAUCAUGAACAUGAAUUAAAUAUAACUCAAACAUGGAAAUCAUUAAUCUGAGAUCUUAUAUGUUUUAAAAUGUUUCUUAGACUUCAUGGGUUAAUGGAACCCAUGAAUGAACACCUAACAUACUUGAAUAUUAUGGAUACUUGAUGUUCUUGAAGGAUUUUUGGAGGAUUAGUCUUGAUUCUUGAAGCUAGGGGUUUUCCCUUUUAAGAGAGAAUACUUUAUUCUUAGGAGAAAGUGAGGAAAUAAUGGCAUGUUAGGUUAUUUAUGGCUUUAAUCCCGUGUUUAGGCUAAUUAGGGAUUUUAGCAAUUGAACAAAUAACAACUGAAUUAAAAACACAGAAAUAUAAAAAUGCUGAUUUUGCAUACUGGCGUGAUGCGGUGGAAUCGCGCCAGCUUACUAUAAUUUGGACGACUAGGUACUGGAGGUUUAGUGCGAUGUGGCGCCAUUACACCAGAUUACUGCAUGCAAAUCUACCUCUUAACGCAACACUCCAUGAUCAUUGAGUCAAAUUGGAAAGUGACAAUUUGGAAAUUGGCAGGUGGCACGACGCAGCAGUAUCGUGUUAGCUCACUGAAAAUUGACCAUUGCCAUUUCGCUUGUCUCCGCGAUGCGCUGGGUACUAAUUUGGCACACUGCUUUAAAAAUUAUGCUAUAACUCUUCGCCCGAGUAUCAGAUUGUGUGAAUUUUAUAUCAUUUGAAAGCUGACUGGAUUUCCUACGCAUUGGUGAGCUUUAAACUGAAAAUAACUGAGUAUUUUAAAUUUUUUACAUAGAAAUACUCAUGUACUGAGAGUUAAAUUAAACUAGGGAAAUACAGGGUAUUACAAGAUAUUAGAAUAAUGUUAUGCUAAAUUUAUAAACCAACUCUAAAAUCAGUAAUCGAUACUACUCAAAUUCAAAAAUGUAGUUUCAUGAGUAAAGAGCACACUAAAAGCCAACCUAAUGUAUGAAAAUAUAUGACUCUAUCUUUGAAUAUGAAAUAAAGAAAAGAUAAUAAUGAAAAGGAAUUCUAGAACAUGCUUUGGAUGAGGAGCUUACUAGUACUCCAAGACCUCUAAAAUUACCAUAAACUCAGGCUCCACUGGUUUCUCUAAAACUGGGAUCUACACUUAAAGAAUAGAGAAAGUAGGAGUGAGUAUGAUCAAUUUGAUCUUAGUAGGCAUUAAAGGAAAAUCAAGCAAAGUAGAAAAACAAAAAAUAUAAAGGAUACUAUAAGCACGCUUCCACCUAUAUAUAAAAAAGUUCCCACUGAUGGCUCAAGCCAUGUUGUUCCUAAUAAUAUAAAUAAUAUAUCUAUAAUAAUAGUACAUAGUAAUUAAACCAUAGAUACAAAUAAAAAGGAUACUAAAUUACACGAUAUCAAACCCACAAGAUGCAGAUAAUGAAACAAUGAUAUGAUAAGGAUGCAAUAUCUUGAUUUCACCUCAUAUACACCGUCCAAGUAUAAUAUUCUAGGAUAAGACCCAUGGGGGGUUCAGAACUCAUAUACUAUCAAAAUCUCAUCAAUUAACCUUACCAACACAUCCCUAGGUUAAGGAAUUUUAUAAAGUUUCUCAUUUUCUUUUAACAUUAAUAUUUCUUAGCUGAAUCAAUUCUACGAAUAUGUAUAAAUAAAAUGAGGAUACAUCAUCAUAACUCAUAACCACAAAAUAUCAUGUAAUGAAUCAAAUUAAUAAUGGUAUGAAUGAGCUUAAGUUAUCUCAAAUAUCAAUAAAUAAUGAUAAAUGUAAUUGCAUGGUAAUACAAUAGUAGUGAGUCUUGUAAAACAUCAAUUAUAUAAAUCCAAGCCCACACUCAUGCAUUACCAUUAUCGUAUAGAAAAAAUAAUUCUCCAAUAUGACCACUACCAGCCCCCAUUUACGAAUCUCAAUGAUAAAACUCUCUUAUAUCAGUAAUAAGAUUCACAUAAUCCCCAACACAAACAACAUCAUUAAAUAAUAAUAUAAAAAGAUAAAUAUCAUUGUAAAAUACUCAACCCACAAAAUACAUUACAUGAAUGAUGAACUGCCCAGCCCAGUCUAAACAAAUUAAGCCGUAACAUACCUCAAAAGUUAAAAUUCAAGCUUUGACCUCUCAAUAAGAAGCCUUUCCCAUUUAUGCCACCUCGUAUCAAAUCCAAUCUGUCAAGAACAUAAUAUAUAUGUCAAAAUAAGUUUCUCAAUACCUAUAUGGGCAUACUUUUUUUUUUGGAUAAAAAUCACUUUUUGACUCCAAAAAUAAAAGGGUAAUACUAUAAUUUUAAUAAUAAUCAUUUUAACCAUAAUAUAAGAGUUCUAAAUGUUAAAACCCAUCAAAAACAAGUUAUUAUCAAGUUUUGAAUUAUUGAAUGGCCAUAUUCUAACUUUACCAGACAAACACCCAAAAUUCCAAGUUUUGAAGUACUUUUUAAGAUAAAAUCAUUGGAUAUGAUAAAAGUAAGGUUUAAAGGUUUGCUUAAGUAAGUUUGAUCAAAUCCCAUUUGAAUUGCCUUACACGAGGUCUCAAGGUCCUAAAAUGGUGAAAAUUGAGUUGGAAUUGUGAAAAUGGGUUUCUAUGCGGUUUUGUGAAUAGGGACUUCCAAAUAUGGUCAGUGCCUUGACUUUCACAAAUGCUAAUGACCCAUGACUACCACAAUCACAAUGGUCUUUUCACAAAUGCAAAGGAGAAAUAACCCGACCAGACCUUGAUUACUCUUUACAAAACCAGCCAUGACCUCGAGUUUGUGAUAUCCAUGAGAAUCCUUCUAGCAAAUGCAACGGGACCCCCACAAAUGUGAAGAAUAAAAAAUUCCAGCACCAUAUGAUAGUAGUUCAGCUAAGGGAAAAGAAUAAGAUUUCUUCAAACAGACCCCCUAGAUUCAUUCGAGACCCUAUAGAAAUUAACCAUUAGUGUUACUAGGCUAGUUUCAAUGUUCUAGACUCAAUGGAACCAUAAAUUUUACCAAAAGAACUUAUUUUAAAUAAGUUAAACUCCUCGCCCUUCAAAACCACUUUAAGGUAAAAUAACUAUUUUAUCAUCUAAAUGCUUAUAAUCAAAAUAAACACUUAAAAUUCACCAACUAUGUUUCUUACCAAAAAUUGAUAUUUUAGAUUUAAUGGAACAGACAUAAUUACCAUCAAUUUUCAUAAUAUAAAACAUUGAUUGAAUUUAAAUAUAACUUUUUAUAUGUUACACAAAACUUCAAACUUGUAUAAAUCAUACUCGAGUGCUCAAAAAAUUAUGAUAACUAUCUCUACAACUCAUAAAUGAUAUAAAGAAAUCGUAUGGAAGGGAAAAUUAUUAAAAUACAUAAAAGAAGAAUAUAAAUUUCACCAUGAGGGUUAUUACAUAAUUAAAACCAUUUUAUGUUGUGAAAUGUUUUUUCUAUUUCAGAAUAGGGUCCAAUAAUCAUGACUAAUAUAAUAAUUGGAUUUUGAGUCUAUAUUCUACAUAGAAUAAUAUUUAAUUAAUAAAGUAGUGUUAGAAACAUAGGUAGAACUUGGAGAUGAGUUUAGAAAUGCCUCCUUCUUUGUCUCAAUACAAUCAUGAUUAAAAUACCCUUGAACAUGGUAGUUGUAGCCCCUCAUCUUUUUCUUACUGAAAACUUUUCCUUCUUGGAAUUUUCCUUUUGUUUUUUCAUAAAGAGUCCUUCUUUAGUAUCCAUACACUUCUCAUUCCUUUUCUAAUUUUUCUUAUGCUUAAAUCUUGAUGAAUUUAUACCACCAAAUUCCAAAAUAGAAAUUAGCAACAACACUAAUUUGCUUGGCUUCAAUCUCAAAAUAAGGGCAAUAUCAGAAAAAGAUUUUAUGUUAUCAUUGUGGUUUAUGGUAAUCUUUAUAUCUUCCUAAAUAUUUAAAGAGUUCAAACACUACCUGAACCUAUCAAAUCAGAUCAAAUCUCAAGGUCAUUUCCUUUAUUUAUGUGUAAUCCUAGCAUUUUGACCCUUUCUAUAAUACCUGUAUGUCAUUUAUCACUUGUUGGAACUAUCAGUUUAGUUAUUGGAUAGUUUGUUUGGGUAUUAGGCUCAUUUUACUAUUAAAGAAUUGAUCUUGAACCAAAACUCUUAGUAAACUACUUUGGAUGAGAAUUCUAAUAGAGCCAUUAACUCUAAAACAUUCAUUUAAGGUUAGGAGGACCAUUGGUAUAAGUCCCAAGGAUUUUGAACUUAUUUUUGGCUAUUAGGUGGAUUUUAUGGAAAAAAAACUAAAUGUGUGGGACCUGUAUUUAGUCAAACAGAUCUUGGAUAAAAGUUUUGAUAGUUCAAUUGAGUUCAGAAUAUGAAAUUUGUUAUGGUAGUGACAUGAACUGACUUGGGGCACUAUCUUAAUGGGCACCUAUAGUCCAACCUCUACCGGAGACCUCCCUAGUACCCAAUACAACACUCAACAUAUACCGUGAGUCAGAUGAAUUCCCAACAUAUAACAAAAUAGACAAUUAGAAGAUAUAAUGACUUUGGAAUAUAUCUACUUACUAGACCAUCCAAAAUAACUCAACCAAUCCAACAACCAACUAACCAAACCAAAAAUGAUAAUCAAAUGUGUAUGUGUCUAUAUAUAUCAUAACCAUUUCAUACACACAUCCAUAGUGGUCCAUACAAAGCCUCUAAAUCAAACCAAAGAGUAUUUAGUCGGGACAUGCUAUCGAUCAUAGCAAAAAAUUAAAGUCGAUGAAAAGACAAGGAGUGCGUAAAGUAAUUCGUGACUUGAAAUAUAUCCCUUCCGACCUUUGGAAGACCACCACUUCAUCGUAACACCAGUGCUUCCCCAAUCCGAUCAGUAAGUAGGAGUAGUAGUAUGGUUGGUUCCUAGAUUGUGUUGUGGAUACAGCUGCCCAAAGAUUGUUUAGCAGGUGAACACUAGCAAGUAUUCUUGAUAAGGAUAAAACAAUGCAAACGUUUAAAACCACGUAAACAACCAUAUACAUACAAAAACAUACAUAUACAUAUAUAAUCCAUACCAGGAGAGGGAACAGGGUUUAGCAUGCCUUUGAAAACAUUAUGAUUGCUAUGUGUAGCAUAACUGUCAUAAUCCACUCAUAGGAUACAUGGGCCUAAUGUUCCCCUUGGACGAGCCUCGAUAUGUAUAGUCUCUUGAACCGAAGAUACUAUUAGAGUAGGGGAUUCUGGUGUACUCUUUGCUAUUGAUGAUACAUAUAUACAAGUAUUAGGGUAUUUUGAGGUACUUCUCAAGUAUAUUGUCACCAUAACCCAUUCUCAUGUCAGCAAACAUGAGUUUCCACUGUCUGUUCUUUGUACUCACACUUUCACGAUUAGAUAUCACACCCCAACAUUAUUGCCCAAUUAAAACCAUAACCACACAACCAAACAACCAAUUCUAACAACAAAAAAUAAACAUAAUACUCAGUAUAUUCCUACCAAGUGGUGUCGGGGGAGGGUAAGUGUAAUACCCCGUAUUUCUACCUAGCUUAAAAUCAUCCCAAUAAUGUUAAAGACUUAUUUUAAAGAUGAAUCCACUUUUAUAAAUGUGUAAUUUUCAAAAUUUUGACUUUUUAUUGUGUGGGAAAGUGAAUUAGCUUUCCAUCGAUAUCAAAUCUUCCCAAAUCCGACACCCGGGUGAAGAGUUAGAGCCAUUUUAAUAAGACAGUGUACCACCUGAACCAUCAAUGCAUCGCGGAGCAUGCCAAAAUGACAAUCGUCAAAAUAUUAUGGGCCUCCAUGAUUAUGGCGCAUCACGCCAAGGCUCAAAUUAAUAGUUGUUAAUUUUUGGUCUCUCAGCGCGAUAUAACUACAUCGCGGUAAGAUUCCAGGUCCCAUUCAAUUUUGCAAUGCGAUUUCACCGCGUCAUGCCAUCAGCCCAAUUCCUAGUUGGUAAUUUCCAGUGGCAUGAGGCGAUAGCGAUGCGUCGCACUAGGUGUCCAAAUUGGGUUUUUAGUGUGAAAAAUAAAAACUUUCUAAGGGCAAUUCGGUCUUUUUCCAUGACCCAGAUCAUUAUUUAACCAUGAAAUUAUGUCCUAAAAACCCUAUUUAUCACUUUUCCUCACUUUCUCUCAAGAACAAAAUCUUUCUCCCUCAAGAGGGAAAAACCUAUCUCAAGAAAUCAUGGCUAAUUCCAGGAAUUUUUUCAAGAACUUUAAGAAUUUAGAUUUCCAGGUAUGUCAAGUGUUGAUUCAUGGGUUCCUUUCACCCAUGAAGCUCAAGGUUCCCUUUUCAAUUCAAAUAUUGUAUAUUUAGGAAUGUUCAUGAUUUAUUUGAAUUGGAUGGUCGUGUUUUUGUUGGGUUUUUAUCCAUGUCAUAUACUAUUAAUUUCAAGAAUUGAUCUUAGUGUGUGAUGAUUUACAUGGUAUUCUUGAUUAACCCUUUAAAUUGAAAACUGAAUUAUGUAGCCAUGAUAAUUUGAUUUAUUGAUUAUUGUAUAAUCAAAGCAUGCUCCCCAUGUGUUUGAUAAAAUGCCUAUGUGAAGAAAAUACUGCCUUCAUAGCAUGUUAUUAUGAAAUCCCCAUUCAUGUACAAGUUAGUGCAUGUAAAGUGUUUUAUGAAAUGUCUUAGUCAAUGAAUUAUUGAUAUACAUAUCCAUUGUUCUGCUUUCAAGCUGUGUACCUAGAGCCAGUGUCAUCUUUUCAUUAUACUCUCAGUCAAGAAAUGAUCAGUAGAAUUCAGUCAAUCAUAUGACUUAGGAAAACUCAGAAAACUAAGUAUCUGUCAAGUACCAUUCAGUAAUCUCAGUAAUAUCAAGAAUCUCAGUGAUCUCAGCAAGUCAUCAUGUCUCAGUAGUAUUCAGUUCAGACCUUAGUAAACACAAUCAUCUAGCAGAAAUUAGUAGUAUUCUAUCUAUUAAUAGAAUUCAAUAGUAUUCCUUUAGUUAAUAAAAAUCCAGUGAACUCAGUUCAAUCUAGUUAAUCAGUAAAUUUAAUAACAGAUCAGUCUAACCCAGUAUGAACUAGGAAAUUAGUUCUAUGUCUAUUCAGUUGGGAGUAGGAUUCAGCACUGAGUGAACCCAGGGAUGAGGACACACACCGGCAGCAAGCAGAGGGUAUGAUCCUUAGUUACAAUCCUUGCAUUCUAGAACUACGUAGCCAGCAUAGGUUGAGAUAUAACCCUACGAGUCUAGGGACAAUACAUCUCAUUUGAGUUUUUCCUUACAAGAAGGGUUGACAUAAGUGCUCCCUAUUAUAGAGGGUUUACUCACAGCUUGUCUUUACCCGUGGCACGGUACUGACACUCUUCCAGCUGGUGUUAUAGGUUGGACUGCACCAGUUCAGAUUUGGGGAAUGUCGGUUAGAUAAUUACCUCCUAUAGUAUCAGUUUUAGAUUUAGUCUUAGUAAUAGAACUUAGUUUAGCUCUACAGAUAUUAGGAUUGUUAGAAACAGUUACUCAGCUCAGUAUGGAACUCAGCUAGUUACAUCAGAAUCAGGAUUGUCAGAUACAGUCAUCAAGCUCUAUAUACACUUAGAUCAGUUAUUUAUAAUCAGGACUAUCAAAAAUAGACUUUCAGUUAUCAGUUACUAGUAAGCUCAGAUAUUAGUAAAUCCUUAUGGUCAGUGGACUCAGUAGUUGAAACUCAGUAUUAUUCCUGUCAUAACCUCAGUUAUAGUUACGUAUUCAUGCAUGUAUUCUUAUAUUCAUGUAUACAGUUAAUUUGUAUUGUUCAUGCAUAUGAACUCUUUGCAUUCAGCCUACCUCACUUGCAUACCAGUACAUCCAAUCAUACUAACGUAUUUGUUCUAUGUUGUUUUGUACCUUAGGUUUAGAAGCACGAGCUCCCGAACAUCCUUAGUAGAUAAGACAUUCAGCAGCCAGACUAGAAGUAAGUCCUCAUUAUUUGAGGAUAGCAUGAUUAUUUUAUUAACUUUAUUAUUUUAGUAGUUCAGAGUUAGUUGGGGACUUUUCCUAUCAACUCUGCAUAUUUCAGAUAGUUUAGAGGCUUUCAGACUACAUCAUGUUACAAAGAGUUUAUUUUAGUUUUCGGUAUUGUUAUCCCCUUUACGGACAUUAUUUUAUAUUUAGUAUUAUUUCAGUUUUGAACCUUAUGGCCUUACAACUUAUGUUCUGCAUAUUUAUAGUAUAUUAUUCAGUGCUCAGUGACAGAUUUCAGUCAUGGGUAAGCUUGUGGUCCUUCAGGUUCAUGAGCACCGUGAAGAAUUCUAGGUACUAGAUUCGGGGCGUUACAAACUUGGUAUCAGAGCCUAAGGUUCACUAGUAUCCUAGGAAGCCUGAAAAGCCGCAUCGAGUAUAGUCUUAUGCAUGGGUGUAUUGUGCACUAUACUUAUGUGUAGGAGACUAUGAGAUGUUUUAGGAACAGUUUCCUUUCUUUCAGUAUUUAUGUCCUGCCAGUGAACAUAAUAUCCAAUUAUUUUCUCAGUCUAAUUCGCUUCUUCUUCUCGCUUACAGAAUAUGCCUUCCAAAGAGGCUAGCGAAAGAAGAAUUCGUAAUCAGACAGUAACUCAGCCCAUUAAGGCAGAUCCCCUGGAUGAACAUUUUUCUUAUGCAUAAUUAAGGACUGUGUUUACUACUCUAGCCAAUUCAGUCAUAACUCCGAAUAAAUGGCCAGCUGCUGUUCCAGCUAACCCAAUGGCCAAUUCAAUUGCAUCUAGGAUUUGGGACUUCACCCGAAUGAAUCAUCCCUUAUUCUUAGGUUCUAAGUUUGAAGAGGAUCCACAAGAAUUCCUCGACCAGUCUCAGAAAGUCACAGACAUCAUAAGAGUGACUUCCAGUGAGAGUGUAGAGUUAGCCAUUUAUCAUCUAUAAGAUGUAGCCCAUACGUGGUUUAAAUAGUGGAAGGUAGAAAGAGGUACAAAUAUAGAGCCAAUAGAAUUGGAAGAGUUUGCUAUGGCCUUCUUAGAUAGAUUCUUUCCUAUAGAAUAGAAAGAAACCAAAGUGAUAAAGUUCAUCAAUCGCAGACAAUGUAACAUGAGCAUAAGAGAAUACUCCCUUAAGUUCACCCAGUUAGCUAGGUAUGCUCCCCAUGUAGUAGCAGACAAUAGAUCCAGAAUAAGAAAGUUUGUGUCUGGGGUUUCAGGUAGAGUGGUUAAGGUAUGUAGGACUUCUAUAUUUAUUAAGGAAAUGGACAUAAAUAGACUUAUAGUCCAUGCUCCACAGAUUGAAGCACAAAAACUUAAGAACAAUGAGAGAGAGAAUAAGAGAUCCAGAAUAGGUAGUUAUAGUUCUUCUAAGCUUGUGUCACAGGUGGUAAUUGUUCUCAGCAUAGCCGGAAGUUUUCAGUUUCAGCUCUUUCCUUAGCCAGUGCUUAAGUUCCUAAGUUUAGAAAUGGUAAGAAAGAUAGGGCGCCAGGCUCCAAAUCUUAGAAUUGUACAAGCAUUAUUCCAACUCAUCCACUUUGCGAAGAAUGAGGUAUGUAUCAUAAGGGUGUGUGUAGAGCUAGCAGGAAUAUGUGUUUCAGAUGUGGCAAGCCAAGUCACAAGGUUUGAGACUGUCCUAAACCCGGUCCACCAAGUCAGCAUGGUCAUCCUUUAACUCAGUCAGGUUGCCAGAAUCAGUAGGGUGCCAUUUCAAGUGUCACCAGUGUGCAACACCCAAACAAACUCUAUGUACUUCAGUAUCGACAAAAUUAGGAAAGCCCUCCUGAAGCAGCCAUUGGUAUGUUACAAAUCCCUUAUUUAUAUGUUCAUGCUUAUUCAGAUUUAGGGAUAUCUUUUUUUAUUUUCUAACUUUUUACAUACCAGUACACUUUAAGGUUAGAUUAGAUUUUAACAGGACCUUCUCGGUCUCUACCCCAGUGGGUAAAAUGAUCAUAGCCUGAAGAUUAUACGAUUACUAUCUGAUUAUGAUACCUUAGAAAGCCAGGCCUUCAGGUUCUAGUAGUAAUACCAGUAUGGGUAGGAAAUCAGUAAGGGAAGAUGAUUCUCGCCCAUUCCUAGCUUAAUAUGAAUUUUUGUACUUCAACUAUCCUGAUACUUAUGCAUGCUUCAUGUCACAAUUCUAUUCACCUAUCUUAUAUUCAUGAACUUUCCAUAAAAUAGUGUUUGUUUUAAGUUCCCAGUAUGAGGAGUUUUGGCUUACUUAGUGUUACGAAUCAUGUUCCAUGAGUACAGAAACAUCAGACUCAGAUCAUGUAGCUCAUGACUCAUGCACUUAUGUCCUAUCUUACAGUAUGUUCAACCCAUAUGACUUAUGCUCCACUCCCAAUGAUCAGCAAAUCUCAGAUUAUAUCACGUCUACUCUCAGUUUAGGUACCGUGGUGAAUCCGUAAUGUUGAUGUUCCAUCCCUAAGUCCUCAAUUACAGCGUCAUUUAGUAGUUAGUAUCCAGUAAAGGACUCACAUAGUACUACAAAACCAUGGCUUUCAGCUGUUAGUUACUUAACCAUUAGAAUUCAGUACGUCCGUAUCAGUCUAAACCUCAUUUAUUAGGAAACCAGCCUUCUAUCCCAGUUAUAGUCUUAGUUACGGUUACAGUAUCAAUUACCAUCUUAGCUAUAAUUUUAAUCUUAGUCCUACUCCAAUCAGAUCAUAAACUGAGUUCACUUUUCGGAUUACCCGAACAUUAGAUAUGUCCACCAAUUAUAAAGUUAUUGGUAUUUUAGUACCUCAAUUUAUAGAAUUUUUCCAAAUCAUAUUGGAUGGUUGGUCUUGCGUUCUUAUGGUAAUACAGUUUUUCACUCAUUUAUGCUCAUUUACCUCAGGUUGCCCAAUCAGUUAUUACCUUUUAUGUAUAAUACUCUAUAGUUUAAGUCCAAACUUUUAGGCUAAGUACAUUUCAGCCUUACAGGCCCAGUAGUCCACCAUGAGUCGUUCAGUUAAUUAGAUCAGUUAGUAUAUUUAUGCAUUCGUGCUUAACACCAUGUGAACCUUUUUAGUAGUAUCAGUUACAGUACAUAAGGUUUAGUCACUUUAUCUUAGAUGAUGUUUCAUAGGCCCUGCCUCCUAAUAUAAGAAUCCUAGCCAUGUAGCGAUCUCCCAUUCAUUUGUCCUACUCAGACCAGACCAAGAUUCUCUUUCACUCUACAGUCAUUAGAACUCUAUAGAAAAAAUGUUAUAGAAAUGCUUCAAUCGAGUAUAAGUUUUCAGUAUGAGUUAGUCCGCAGAGCCAGUAGUUCAGUUUAGCAGUCAGGCGAACAAGUUCAGAUGAUGUGGUUUCCAUCUUUCUAUCCAGUCGCACUAUCCAGAGUCUCAUGAAUGUGAUCAUUCCAAGAUAGAAUAACUAGGUAGUUGCGUGUUCAUCCCAUUUCAUACAUCAUACCUUAGUUUUAAAUAUCUGAUAUUUAGUCAUGAUUUAGUUCGUAGGUGUCUUUUGUAUCACCUCAGUUUCCUUAUAUCUUAGAAAAGUCAGCCCAACAUUCUUUAAGGGGGCAUAGUGUCCCAAGGAGGAGAUACACUAUAAUUCCCCAAGACAUUCAUGAAAUAAACAUGCCGUUCUCUUCUUAUAAUAAAUCCAGUUUGGUGUAAGGGGUGCUCAUGAGUUAACCCUCAAACUCUGAUCUCAGUCAUAAGCCACGUAUUCAAGGUACUCAGUUCAAAUCACGAUAUUCAACUCAUGUAUGAUGUUCCAGACUAAGUUACGUUCUCAUUUUUCUGCUCAUGCAUAUUUAGUAAUUAAUCUCAGGCUCACUAGCAUUUUUAGUUUAAGGAAAUAGUCUUCCUUGAACUUACUCAGUUUUAUGCUCAGAUUUCCAUCAGAAACAUGGUAUCAAGAAUUUCCAUUACAAACUUGGUAUCAAUUACCAUUACAUAUUCAGUCAUGAAGUCAUGUGUCAGUUCAGUUAUGUAUUCACACAUCAUAUUUGCGUGAUCAACUUAUCAGUAAUCUUAGUUAUGCAGUGAUGCCUCAGCUCAGUCAUAAAAUCAUGCAUCAGAUAUGCGUACUCAGUAUAAAUCUAAGUAAUGUCAGUCAUGUACUCAUGUCCUAGUUGCUCAUGUUCAGUAGGUAAUCUAGCUUAUUCUUUCUCCCAUUUCAGUAAGUCUCAUUCAAGGAUGAAUGUUCCCAAGGAGUAGAUAUUGUAAUACUAAAAAUAUAGCAGAAAAAGAAAUAAUAAUAGGAGUUAGAAAAAUAAAAAUAGAAUUCGAAGUAAAGGAAGAAAUGCAAAAAGCAGAUAUAAUAUUAGGAAUAAAAUGGUUAGAACAAGUAAAACCAUAUAAUAUAGAACAUACACAAUUAACCUUAACAUAUAACAAAGAGAAGUUAUUCUAGGAAUGUCGUUCUUAGAUAAAUUAUACCCACAUAUAAUAACUAGAACAGACUGGUGGUUUACAACACCAUGUAAACAGAAAGUAAGAGCAAAAAGAGUUAAUAAUAAAAUAAGAAAGCAAACUGAUUGAAUAAAAGGAAG